AAACUAACAAGGAUUCCCUUAGUAGCGGCGAGCGAAGCGGGAUGAGCUCAAAUUUGAAAUCUGGGCGUCUUUCAGGCGUCCGAGUUGUAAUCUAUAGAAGCGUUUUCUAUGCUGGACCGUGUCCAAGUCCCUUGGAACAGGGUAUCAAAGAGGGUGACAAUCCCGUACUUGACACGACCACCAGUGUUCUGUGAUACGUUUUCUACGAGUCGAGUUGUUUGGGAAUGCAGCUCAAAAUGGGUGGUAAAUUCCAUCUAAAGCUAAAUAUUGGCGAGAGACCGAUAGCGAACAAGUACCGUGAGGGAAAGAUGAAAAGCACUUUGGAAAGAGAGUUAAACAGUACGUGAAAUUGUUGAAAGGGAAACGAUUGAAGUCAGUCGUGUCUAUUGGUUUCAGCCGGUUCUGCCGGUGUACUACUUUUAGACGGGUCAACAUCAGUUUUAGACGGCAGAUAAUAGCAGUUUGAAUGUAGCACCUCCGGGUGUGUUAUAGCUCUCUGUUGCAUAUGCUGUCCGAGACUGAGGACUGCAGCUCGCCUUUUAGGCCGGGGCUCGCCCACGUCCGAGCUUAGG
rnacentral:rRNA from 1 species